AGUGAGUUUUAGGAUUAAGUUGUUCGGCAUCGUUCACCUCGACGGGUUUCGCGGAUCUUCACAGCGCACGAUGGGAUAUUUUUAUGGAUAUAAUUUUCAAAAUUUUGAGAAACGAUAUCAGUUACGACCUGAUAAAAUUUUUGAAGUUCUCUUUUCAGUAGUCUUUCUAUGCAAAUAUCCUACUGUGCAACGGAAGUUUACACUGAUAUGUCCCUUCCGCCGCGUGUUCUGAUAACAGGAUGCGCCUGUUUACUCUGCAACCUCCAGAUUCUUUCCACGCUUUAUCCUAAGAAUUUCAGCGUUGUUUGAAUUAUCACUUUUAAUCUAAUGUCAACAUUAGAGAGCGCACGAUUAACGCUAAGAAAGCAGAAGUACGGGACUCCGAUUACGGGAUAUGAUUGAAGAGGGUGUAAAGGAGCUCGAGUGGCUGUGUAAUGAAAUCGGGGGUCACGCGACCGGAACAUUAGAUCGAAUCCGCGGUUAUUACCCAGUAGACAGAUGAUUCAUUUGACAAAAAGGAUCGAAUCGGAAGAGUGACGAACAGGCGACGAUCGGUCCGUUAAUUCAUUCACAAAUCUAUCAGAAACGUACGUGUUAUCUUCGUCGACUGAUCGAUCGAUAGAAUUAUUCGACAGUCAAGGCUGACACGAUAGAUUCGGUCCUAGGAAGUUUUCCACUGGUGUACUCGCAUCGCAACACAUUGUUAAACGUAAUGACGUGUGUUUACGCUUGUGAAAAGCUGCUUUGGUGGCUCAUUAUCUAAUGUCAGAGUUGUUAUUACGGGGCGCAGCGAGGAGAUAGAGUCGUGAUGCGACCGCGGUAAUGUCAGUUUGAUCGUACGUUGCAAAUUACGACGGAAGACACGCUAUUAAUUAGCGAUCGGACGUUGUUUACCAGUCACGACGAUGGUAACGGUAUUGCGGGCUGCGCUUCUUCGGCUAGCCGACUUUUGUUAUUACAUGCCAUUUAACUAACGGUUCACGAUGUCUCGAGGUCCUUCAUUAUUUUUAUCGUUAUUCGUUAUUUCUUUCCGAUCCAGCUUCCUUUGCUCCCUCUAGCCGAUCUUUCGAUUGUUUUUCAACGAUUUUUUCGAAUUACUCGCCGACGAGGUAUUCGUUCAUAACGCAUAGCAGGAAAUGAAAUUCGCCGUCGCCGAAUUUCCGCUAAUCCCGGCUUCGGUUUCGCGGCAGGAACGAAACGAAAUUAAAUCGUGCAUCGGCCGCGUUAAUUAAUACGCAUUGCCGGCGUGUCGAUUCGCGCGGCGAUAGGUAAUACGCGCGCGACUCGAUUCCACAAUAUGUAGUAGUUUCUAAUUAACGGACGGCAUUGCGAUCGAUCCAAUAAAAGUAGGCAAAUAAAUCGCUGAUACCCUGUCAAGUACGCUCGACACGAUAAAUCACUACUUUCGGCCAAUUAUACAGCCGCGUUCCGCGUGCCGUGGCCACUGAAAAACAAGAUUUUGAGUAACAAGCAUCGAUUUUCAUCUGAAAUUUAUUUAAUGCCGAUUAAACUCGUGCCGCGGAUAUAUUUGCCAUUUAUAAUGCUUCCUCGCAGUGUUAUAAAUAAAACCGUUUUCCACGUGCCCGCCGCUCAAGUAUCGAUCCUUUGUGCCAUUAACCCUUUCGUCCCGAGUGGCACACAAUAUUCCAAAUACUACGUUCGAUUAACGAGAGAAUGAGAUUAGAAAAACAGAGAAUAAAGUGGAAGAAAUAUAGGUAGAAGAGUGGAGUACAAUAUGAAUAACUGAGAGAAGCGAAGGUGGAAUCCACCGGGGACAUCAACUUUUCCUAACACUCUGACGUUCAACACGCUCUUCCGCGGCAUUAGCAUCGGGAAGUGGCAGAAGUUAAGCUCGCCGUGUCAUUUCUACGUCUCUUUAACCCCGUCCCACCCCGUUACCUUCCGGUAACUUGGCUAUCGUAAGCCUGGAUCGGGACGGAUUCGAUGCAUUUUAAAAUUGCACGCGAUUACGUUGCGCGCGACCUUCCGUUGUCGCCGAUGAUGCAUAAAGCUCGAUGAAUUAGUUACGAUGCCGCGUCGAGGACGAGCGGAACGCUUAAAAAAAGCAUGAUUCGAGUAACAAAGUCUCCGGUGUUCCACGAUUUUGCAAUUACACCGAGGCGAAGUAUUAUUUUGUUAAACGCAGGAACUAAUGACUAGAUCAAUGUCUAAAAAUUCGCACAGAUACGAUAGCAUUAGAUGAAGCAGACGAUCGACCAUUCCGCUCGUGCACGAUCUGCUUUAAACCUCCCACACCCUCGUCGCGAUAAUUCGCAUCCCUGGUGCUUCCUCGCGGUGUUACGCGAGUCUUGGACAAACAUCCUCGAAAGUUGCAACCCUUCAGAUUCAUUCCUGCUCGCGAAACAAUGAAACGAAAUGAAUAUUUUGGUGGAUAGAAGAUAGAAAGAGAACGUGGUUGGAGGGUGAGAAGAGCGGCGCGUAGGUGAGUCGGGGUGCAAAAGUAGUAGGAAGGGGUGCUUCGGUCGUCGAAGUGCAAUGACGUAGGGCGUCGGAGGCGUUGGUGGCGCUGGGCUCCCACUAGCGUAUCGAUUCCUCGAUGCCAGGCAAGGAAACCAACCCCCAUACCCCCUCUCUUCAGCUUCCUCUGCCUUCAACCACCCCCGGGCGACCGUGCCGGCUAACUCAGCCCUCUCUCAGCCACCCCCGUCUUCCGCCCACCUACAAUCCCGUCGAACAGCCCUUCCUUCCUCCCUCGUUUCUCUUCCGAGCGACGGCCAACUUUCUAGAUAUGAAUUAACAGAGUUACCGGAGCUUCUGCACAGCUCGAGCUUCGAGUUAUGCGGUUUACCAACUUGCGAACGUCUCUGUGGCUUUGGCCCCUGUGUCAAUGCUCGCUCGCCCGUCUAUGCGGUUUGCGUUCCAGAUAUUUUCACGUUUCUUCAAUCACAAUAAUGCUACUAUACUCUAGCAUCCCUGCUCCUACUGCUUGUUUACACUAUACCUUCUUCCCUUAUCAAAUAUUCGUGUGUCUUCUUAUUACAAACUUUCCAUUCACUAUUACUCCUCGGGUCCUUACGUGUAUGCACUUUAGGUAGACAUUCACACAAUUUAUUAUAUAUCACGUACCAUAAAAAUGUUCGUCCCGUAUGAUUUAAAUAAAUAAAUAUUUUGACCGAGUAUUUUGAUUCACGGGAAGACAGUUUGUAUCAGGAAAAUGUAGCGAAUAUUUUUUCAUAAGCAUGACAUGCGUGGGACUAAUAAGGUAAUUAAGUCGGACAGCGUGGGAGUGGUGACUCGUCACGAACGCUGAUUAUCGGCAAUGCCAUAAUCUGUCACGAGAUCUGAACUCGAUGGAAUACCAUUCGUAUACAGAGUGUGCCAGCUUUGAAUUCCAUCCUUUCGUCAACGAAACCCCCGUCGUCAUUUUUCGCAUUGUUCCCGGCGCGAUCAUUAAAUUCUCCCCUGUCUGUAGAUUCAUGAAAAUUAGCGCGUGUGCUACAUACUUUUUGUCCAAGGCUCGUUCGACUCUUGCAGUGUCAUGCAUCCGGUUGAUAAUGCGAUUCCGCGGCACUGGGUUAGUGCAAGCACGCGGGUGCAACGUCGAGGAGGAAGGGUUGAGAGCGGAGAAACCGAGAGGAGGAGAGAGAGGAUGCCGGUAGUCGAGGGAGGAGGGGUCGGUCGUAAGGGGUGCGCGGGUGAUGUUGCAGAGGGAAGGGUUUGGGGUAUUAAAUCAUAGAGCCAGAGCGCCUGCCGCCGGUUUACUGCCGGAUAAAACGCAGUGACUGUUAUGUUAUGGACCACCUGUAUGCCUCGACCCUGAACUCUGUCUCUCCCUCUCUCAUUCCGUCGCUGCGUUGCUUGCUCCCGAGCCGACUGAAAUCUAUGGACGUCCAAAAACAACCCUUUCUUCCGGCUACAAAUACGAUCGCACUUUAAGUACAUAGUUUCUUUAAAAAUCAAUCGGUAAACAGAUAGUAGAUGUAUACGAAUUCUUGCUGUUAUUCUUUAAUUAGUCCAACAAUAUUCUUUUUAUCCAAUAAGGUGGGAUAACAAAAAAUUAAAAGGCCAAUCAAAUGUUCAAAAUGAUAAAGACUUGCUACAUUGUCUCAGGGAAUGGUAAAAAAUUCCCCAUCGAUGCAUCUUAUCCCAGGGGAACCACUGUGAUUCUUAAAAACACAGUCUCGUUACUUUUGGAAGCAGCCAGCUGGAUCGAUCGCUGGUCUGACUUUCUUUAAACCGCUUCGUUUCUCACGCUGAUAUCGAUCGGCUCUCGAAAGCACACAGGCUACACAAAAAGUAGAGAGAGAGAGAGAGAGAGAGAAAAAAAAGGAACAGCGACUUGAAAUCGCGAGUUGGAAGGCAGGGUGCGUUGCACCCCGGUUAAAGCUCCGCUCGAACGAUUGGACCGAUAAAAAUUUGUCCGAGUACGGCGGUCGAGUGAAAAAUAGCGCAGAAUCACGCGAGCUGGCAACGGUAACAGGCGUUCGCACGUCGAGCCUCGCGGCGAGAGUAAUUAACGCGUCGCCCUCGACAGGUCUGACGUGCUCGCGCUUUGGAAAGGAAUUCGCGACGGGAAGUGGCCGCUUCGCACCUAGACCGGGCACCGCCGGCAAAAAGGAGCCUCGUGGCUCGUGGAAAAGAUCGGAGCGAAAUCCUGUACCUGAUUCAGCGAAGAAAGAAAAGCGUUACUUCCUUCGUUCCUAUUUCAGAAUCUCUUUCUGUCCCUUUCUCAACCCUCUCUCGUCCUUGAUGCCGAGUUUUUCGUUUCUCCACGGAGAGAUCGGUAUCCGCGAUUAUAUUAUAAAUAUACAUGUAACUCAGGCAAGGCAUGCUACCCUGGCCGAGAGAGACGGACUCACACGAACAACGUCCUCACGUGCCCGGGAGAUACCUGCCGACGCAACUGCACCGUGCAUUCGGUGCACGGUCACGUGUAUUGUAUAUGGCCGGUACCAUAUCUGCCUACCUUCCUACGAGACCCGGUACGCAACCUUCCUCUUAUCUCUUUCUCUUUCGUCCUUUCUUUCCUUCGCCUUACACCGUACUCUUUCCUUCUCUACUCCCUGCCAAGUUGCUCGAGCAACUCGCGGUAUUAAAUACAAUAAAGACAUUCAAUGGGAAUUAAUCGGAUAUCUACGUAUCUACCGUCCAGUCUGGGUGCAUUGUUGUGCGCCUGGUCCCGUGACGGCGUGUGCAGCCCUCUCGGUCUCUUUCUUUCACACGUUCCAACCCGAUCGUGCCCUCUCCUUCUCUGCACCAACUCCUCCUACUCUUUCAUUCGGUUCUUCGUAUUUCACCUUUUUGCCGGUCGAGCUGCCGGGUCGAAUGGAGAUAUUCCGCGGCGGAAUAAUAUCGAGGCACGUUUUUAGAGAGCGUAAAGCCCCGACGCAUCGGAUCCCCGAGUCAUUCCUUGUUCGAACGGUCGCGCGUCGUCGAUCGACCGGCACCGAUUGCUCGCGCUUUAUGGGACCUCCUUCUCCCACAUUGCCAUUUUCCUUAAAGAACUUCACCUCGUAUACCGUGCACCGGUUCGAUACACUUAACGAACCCGUCCGCGAGCCCGGCUUUUCGAUUCGGUUUUUCUCUACCGUCGGAAAAACUAGCGGCGCGGUAACCGUGCAUCGACUCGAUACGCAACGUCGCGUCGACGGGGAGAUUUUAAUCUCGAUCGGAGAAUUAAUUUGCUGCCUUGUAGGGAAUUGCGCUCGAGGAAUCGUAGCUGUCUUUAUAAUUCGAUUAUAUCUUCACCGGGUAGCAUUCAGUUUCCUUAAUGUUUUAAUUAUCCCUGAUAACGAGAUCACCGUGCAUUUUUGUUUUCCACUUCCGUUGCUUUUUUUUUUCUUUCAAACUAACAGGUCGCGACGAGAAGAAAAGUUUCGCGCGAAAUCGAAGGUUCUUUGCUGUUUCAACUUUUCACGGAGUUGUGUUAUUUCUAUCUGGAGACACGUUGCAACUCGCGGCAACACGUUCGCCGGGCCCGGUUAAGUUCGUCAAAACUGUCAGACUCUUCGCGGACAAAGUUACACGGUGCAUUAAACUUUGAGCCACGUUCCAGUUCUUGCCACCUGUUUAUAGCGUUGCUUUCGCGCGCAUCGAUUGUUCAUUACUGUCGCAACUUUGCGGAGAAACUUUGUUGUUGUCGAGUCAAUCGACGUUACAUUGUAAUGGUACACCAGGCGCGGUGCGAAGAAAGCCAACUGCAUCUAAUGUAGCUAUAAAGGGAACUUUUGCGGCAACACGAUGAAUGAUGAAUGCGAGUUGAAACCGAUCAAUGAACGUAGCUUGAUUUAAAACCCGACGUGGUACGAUUUUUCUGUCGUCCCAUGGAAAAAAGUGAGAAUAAUCGUGGUAUAAUGGAACGAAAAGAAUAGCAUGGACUAUUCACGCGUAUUUUUAGAACGUGUUUCAAAUAAAACUCGAAACCUCAUCCGUAUCUUUAUAUCCGAUCAUCAUAGACCAUCGGUAGUUGCAAGGUUUCCUCUAACUUCGUUGUCUUAUCAACGACGAGGCUUCUUCCUCACGGUACACUCACCCCAUCCCCGUCGUUACAAUUAUUAUUCGUCUUAUCUGGCUCGAUUUGCAUUAUAUUUAAAUUUAAAUACACAGCUCGAGCGUAGCAGCGCCUUCUCGUCCCCCCCACCUGUCGCCCGUGGUCCCUCCUCCUCGCUGACUCGUCUCUUUGAAAGCCAACGGGGGCCACCUAUUUGCCACCCACUGUUCGUAACUCCCGGGGUAAUUGCAGGCCACGCGAAAACAAUGCCGAAGUCAAUAGACUCACGUGACCAGCUGGAUAUAAUUCCUGGCUUGCUGUUUUCGGCCAAUCGAAUCGCGUGGUACCUCGUGAGAAUUCCGUCUGAAACUCGCGAUGCUUCUUUGCGCGAUUAUAUAGAGGGUUAAUUAAACGAGGGUCGAGGUAAUGAACUUGUAAGUGCAUAUCAUUUCUCGUUUCCCUUUUUUUCUCUCUCUUCUUGACGUGGAAUGAAAAUUGCACCUCGAUUUCGUGGGAAUGUAAAUGAAAAAGCUGGAGAAAUUGUCUCCUCUUUUAAAAUUGCUACAUCUACACGUAUACCAUUUCCCGGAUUUCCUUCCUUACCCUUCUUUGAUCAACGUCCGAUCCCGGUAAUGUGCCGGAACCCUUGGUCGAACAGUAUCCUCGUAAACAUAUCGGGAAGAGCGUAUCGUCCCCGACCUGGCUCAACUGAAACGUUAGCAGCGAAAUGGCGUCAUAAAUAACGUCUUAAGUGUAGCGUCACGGCGUCGACCCUCUGUCGAGAACAUGACCGACCUACGAGGGAAGUCCUUGCACCUAGGAAUGAGCAAUAAAAGAAUUCGAAACAUCGUUCUCGACAUUGUGCGGCUGUAAUUUCCAUCAGCAACAAAGCAUCAACAGACACCUCGGCAGUCUUUCGUUCUUCUCCUUUUUGGUACCUUAUCUUUGUCCCAACGAUCCGAUGCUCUCGAUUCAGCCAAUAGGAGAAUGGUGAGGUAGAAGAGCAAACGAAAGCUUUGUUGGAAUCUAAGCGACGUAAAAAGCACACGGGAUCCGUUCCUUUCUGCCAUUUAGAGGGAACAAGAAGAAGAAAUAAGAAGCGGCGGAGAAGGGCGUCGGCGAUAAAGGUGACGUAGGGCGUCGCGACGUCCGUCAAGCUACGCCGGUUGGUCCACCAUCCGGAUAUCUCGUUCUCCGUUUCGCUCGUUAACCUGUAUACCUCUUACUCUCUCUCUUUCAUCGAAGAGAAUCUUCCACCUCCUCCACGUUUCAGCCCCGUCUCUCUUUCCUCCUGUCUCUCGGCUGAAACGAGCGAAAUGCUUCUCUCAGGAUCAAGGAAGAGCGCAGACUCCAAACGGCACCGGCGACCCCCGUGAAUGGCGACCCUCACAAACCAAUCGUAUUCCCGUUUCCAUCCCUCUUCGCUGCCGGAGGAGACUCCAACGGGAGUUUCCCUCCGCGCAACCCUGUCGACGUCGUUACUGUUACCCGCUACCUAUACCCCUCUUCGUCUUCCCUCUGUCGGCUCGUCUCCACCCUAUGGAACCAGGCUGCUUCGACGACCGACGCUUUCCAACUUAAUGCUGCUAUUUUCAGGUUUUAACACUCGCACGACCGUUACUGCUUUCCUUUCUUCGCAAUCAAUUCAUUUCCUCGGCUAAGUCAAUCGCUUUGUGAUAAGAUGAAAGAUGGAAGAUGUUUCGUGUACCAUCGGAAAGACAAUAAUCCGAUGUCUAUAUGCGGCAAGGAAUCCACGGGUCGAACCGUUUAUCGUUCGUUACAUAAUGGAAACGUUGCCGACGUCGUUCGACCAUAUUAUUCGGAUCUUGAUCGACGCGACGAGCCACGGUGACCGGCUACGAUUUGCAAUUAUUGUCGACGCCGUUAUCGACGCGCACCUGUCGUGUCGCCUCGCUGAUAGCCGACGCGCGACUUAAUGUCCCGUGUCAGUCACGUGAUGGACUUGUGCACGCGUGUCCAGAGACACGGGUCUAUUUAGCGAAAUUGUACAAGUCUCGAGAACAAACGUGACGCGACGUUUGGAUUACAUUUCUUUCGUCUAAAAUAUCUUGCGUUGAAUACAAAUUUCAUGAGUUCAAGUGGAAGUUGCGAAUUUUCUAAAAUCCAGACAAGCUGCAUCUACGCCGUCUCGUUAGCCUUGUCAACGAGUCAGAAAAUUAAUCGUAGCUCUUAAUGGUGCUGGUAUUAUUUUACCCGUUGGAAUUCAACGAUUUUUAACUAGCAGGUUACUUUUUCCCCGCAUCGUGGCGAGGAAGAAAACCUCGAAGACUAUUUAUUUCCGACAGACCGUCGGUACAAAUAGUAUAGACACUUUAUCAAUGUUCCUCGCGGUAUCUUCGGUCCUGAUCGUGGCGCACCGGAACUCACGGUGAUCCCUUCCUUCGUUUCCUGAUCUAAAAAGCGCCGCGGGAUUUUUAACGAUGGCCGUUCUUUCGCGAGGGAAUCCACCACCACCUCUACCACCUCCUCCUCCGUGUAUCUUCGCCAGCAUUAAUUACUUUCGUGGCAGAAAGGAUCCGGAGCGAUAUCGCGCCGCUGCAACGACGAUACAGACUGUGCGCUCUCUCUUUCUCGUUCCCACAAUCCUCUUGCUCUGCCAUCCUUCCAGCUCUCUGCCAGUCGUCUUCUUUCAGCCCGAUUUCUCCGUUUCUCUCGGCGGGAUGCAAUUUACCGAAUUGUUUUUAAAUCCCUCGGGCGGCACCACGGCGGAACCAGGAGAAAAGCGUAGCAGAGAAAAAGAAAACACAGAGAGGAAUGGAAGAAAGAGAGGACGGAGCAGGAGGAGGAGAAAGAACGAGGUUGGCGGCAGCCAUGGCGUCAGCUGUUUUGCCCAGGAGGCGAGCACCCCCGUUUUCUUUAUGUUUCUUUGCCCGGAAGUCCCAUUCCGAUAUCGCCCCCGAUACACCGCUUGCACCCGUUUUCCACUCGAAUACCUAUACACCUACCGUUUCGAACGAACUCACGCAUAGUUCCUCGUCUUUCCUCGUUUUGAAACAAUUUUCCAAAAAUUACUGUCGAAAAAAAUCCACUGUAAUUUCAUAACGGUUAAGCGUUAUUAUACGCGCGAAUAAGUGUACGAAAAAUAGAGGCGAAGCGAAUCGAUUGACGGGUGGGCCUAUAGCGAGGCAUAAGAAUGCAGCAGCGUCGGCGAGGCCUUUGUGUCUCGCGUUUUAACGAGCCACGGUGCAUAAAUUAAUCCAGAAGCCUGAUAUCGUUUGAUUCGCCGCUGUGCCGCCAUGUCCGUUCAAGUGCACCCACCUCUCUUCCUCUCUCUUUCUCUUCCGCUCCGCAGCUACGUAUUUACCCUCCCCACUGCUUCUCCUGCUUACCUGCCAAUACACGGUGCACCUCGUGUGUAAUACCUUGCGUAGCGUGCGUGCACCUUAUGCACCCGCCUCGAUAUGCACUUUUUAUGGCCGCCACUUACUACCUUGAAUGGUAGUCCUUCCCCUUUGACGACUCGGCCGCCGUCCUCGCGAAGGGACAACCGCUUUUUUCCUAAUAAUAUCUUCGGAUGUUUGCGCGUUAAGAAAUCGCCAAAUAACUGUUCACAGGCAUCCUCUUCUACAGAAAUGGAACACAAGUCUCUUAGAAUCAGUUCCAAGAGGUCGGAUAGAUUUUUUUCAUCAGAUGUUUAUCGAACACCAUUUUGGCUGGCUGUUAAAUAUUCAUCAACCAGUUUAUCGCUGUCGGGAAACUCGUUAAUAGAGAAACGGGAGGAGAUCUCGAUCUAAGCAAAGCGUUGUCACUGCUGUCUUUUUGCUCGCCAUCCCUAUUUCUCGUACCCAUCUUUUUCAUGCUGCUUGGCCAGCUUUCUCUUUCCUCUCUCUUUCUUUCUGGCCUCCCAUAGCCAACCGUAGCCCUCCAUUUCCAUCGUCGUGGAUCAAUACACCGUGAUAAAAUGGCAGUGCCGUAAACGAGACUGUUCUUCGAUCUUUUUUUGGGUAUUAAUAGCAACCGUGCUCAUUGAUGGCUUAAGGAACCAAUAUACAGGCGAAUCAGUUGUCAGACUUAUAUUCCAUCCAACGAGAGGAGAUAGUAAAUACGUACAAAUUCACGUGCUCAAAGCAGGCUCGGCUCACAGUACAUAUAUGUACCUUGAUCGAAACUUUUGAAGAACUGGAAACAACUAAGUCCGACCCUGCAUCGAGCGCGUGAAUUUGUAAAUAUAUCCUGACUCGUCUCGUUGGACGGAUUACAGUUCCAUCUCUUUUAUUCUAUCUUUUUCUUCAAUUUUCAUCCUGAACUUUGUGGCUUUUCAUUUUUGCCAACGAAACAUAUAUAUCCAAGAUUAAUUUACGCUUCUUAAUUUGCAUUUAGUCUAGGCAGAUCCUAGGGAGAAUCUAGGGGGAGUUUAAUAUAGGAACCUAUAAGCUUUGUAGAUAAAGAAUAUGGAUAAAUAAAGAGAAUAAUCGGACAUUCUUUUCUUUAUAUUUUUAUUGCACUGAAAAGGGCUUAGUUUGUAUUAAAUUGUAUAUGUCAAUCUAUACACAUAACGUAAUGAUCAGAAGAAGGAACGAUGCGAGAGAAACACAUUAGUUCGGGCAGUCUCCGAUUGGCGGCGCGCAGGCACGAUCAGCAAAUGGUUACGGAGCGGAUUACUAGUUGGCAGCACUGGCAAGGCGCGACUCGGUUCGGUUGCAAGCAGGAAUGCUAAAAAUUUCGGAGUUUAUAUUAACAGUUGUGCGGUUAAAUGUGUGCUAAUUCGUUUCGUGUGGUGUGGAAAUUAGAGGCGAUUCAGUGCGUUGACUACAGUCCAGUAACUUCCAAAAGGUAAAUGGUGUCCGCGUAGGGAAUGGAGUUCGCCGCCAGACGCGCAACGAGCGGCGAGCGACGCGCGUCGCGGCGUUCUUUACUCUUCCGUCUUCCUCGGUAGUCCCGGUGACGCGAGUAACGCGAGUAUCGGAAGCGGCG